AGCAACCCCCCUCCAGCCCUGGGGCACACUGGCCUGCCUCUGCCCACAAGGGCAAGGUUGAGGUCAGCACUUUGGCUGGCUGAGAAUUUGGAGCUCAGUCAUGCUGGGCCUGUGGGCUGAGCUCCCUGAAGCCACGGAGCAGAGACAGGGCCAGCCGCAGGAUCUGGCCAAGGUCAGAUCCUCAGAGGUAAGCCCCACAAAGGCAGGCAUGUUCAUCGGUGUCUAAGACCUUACCUGGAAAUCAGUAAACGUUUGUUGAAUGAACGAGGCUCAGAGACACGUAGGAUGUACUCAAGGUCACGCAGCACAUCUGUGACAGAGAGAGAGGCAAACCCAGCACUGUCUGAAGACAGCAAAUAAAAGGAAGCAUUCCACUCAGGUCUGACACUCUCGACAGGCUUGUCCACUGGAGCGCGGGAAGUCUGCCUCCCCACACAAUUCUCCACGAUGACUGUGGGGAUGGUACGGUGGUGAACCAAGCAUCACUAAGACGAAAGAGGUGAUUAGGGAGGAGCUUUCUUGGCCACCCAGCUGGAUCUCUGCACCCUGCUGACCCCAGGUCCUGUCUCAGCCUGAGGUCCCACUCUGGGGUGGUCUGUAGGAGGUAGCUGGGAUCACACAGCAUUGGAAACCUCCUAGCUUUACGGCUGUCCCAGAGCUCAGAGUGAAGAAGGAAGGCUUCUGGGAUGGGCGGACUACAGGGAGGGAGAUCCCAGC